GAUGAACGCUGGCGGCGUGCCUAAUACAUGCCAGUCGAGCGAACGGACGAGAAGCUUGCUUCUCUGAUGUUAGCGGCGGACGGGUGAGUAACACGUGGAUAACCUACCUAUAAGACUGGGAUAACUUCGGGAAACCGGAGCUAAUACCGGAUAAUAUUUUGAACCGCAUGGUUCAAAAGUGAAAGACGGUCUUGCUGUCACUUAUAGAUGGAUCCGCGCUACAUUAGCUAGUUGGUAAGGUAACGGCUUACCAAGGCAACGAUGCAUAGCCGACCUGAGAGGGUGAUCGGCCACACUGGAACUGAGACACGGUCCAGACUCCUACGGGAGGCAGCAGUAGGGAAUCUUCCGCAAUGGGCGAAAGCCUGACGGAGCAACGCCGCGUGAGUGAUGAAGGUCUUCGGAUCGUAAAACUCUGUUAUUAGGGAAGAACAUAUGUGUAAGUAACUGUGCACAUCUUGACGGUACCUAAUCAGAAAGCCACGGCUAACUACGUG
rnacentral:rRNA from 1 species